rnacentral:sRNA from 1 species
UUUUUUUUUUUUUUUGCUUGUGCUCAUUAAAUAGCAAGGGUCAUCUGUCAGGAUGUUGUGGUGGUGUGCGAUCAGAGCAGAGGGCCUUUCUUUUCCUGUACUGUGCUCUACUUCCUUAUGCAUGCUUGGUUUCAAAGAUAACCGCCACUUUAAAAGAAAGAUUUCCUCACAGCUCUCCAGAGAACUAUCAUACUAAGGUGAUAGGAAAGGCUUCUCGGAUACAAGCCAACAAGUCAGUUUUCUGAUUACAGAAACUCCUCUCACAGGUUAUGUUUGGAAAGGCUGUUCUCCAUUCCACUUAUAAAUUGAAAGUGAUAAGCUACUGUCUUGUGAUCUUGCAGGGUCAGUGGUUGACUCACUCAUCUCUGAAAGGUAACUUUGUUCAUAUCUAUGUAUUUUCAAACCUGGAAGCUUGUAAAUUGGAAGUUUCAGUAUUAGCUUUAUUAUUCUUUCUUGGUGAGGAAUAGAAAUGGCAGCAAAAAGAAAGCCAACAAUCUGAAAACUCCAGUCUCCUCUAACACUGGCUUUGUUUUAAAUCAAGACGGGAAGAGAUACAU